GACGAACGCUGGCGGCGUGCUUAACACAUGCAAGUCGAACGAAGAGCGAUGGAAGCUUGCUUCUAUCAAUCUUAGUGGCGAACGGGUGAGUAACGCGUAAUCAACCUGCCCUUCAGAGGGGGACAACAGUUGGAAACGACUGCUAAUACCGCAUACGAUCUAAUCUCGGCAUCGAGGAUAGAUGAAAGGUGGCCUCUACAUGUAAGCUAUCACUGAAGGAGGGGAUUGCGUCUGAUUAGCUAGUUGGAGGGGUAACGGCCCACCAAGGCGAUGAUCAGUAGCCGGUCUGAGAGGAUGAACGGCCACAUUGGGACUGAGACACGGCUCAGACUCCUACGGGAGGCAGCAGUGGGGAAUCUUCCGCAAUGGACGAAAGUCUGACGGAGCAACGCCGCGUGAGUGAUGACGGCCUUCGGGUUGUAAAGCUCUGUUAAUCGGGACGAAAGGCCUUCUUGCGAAUAGUGAGAAGGAUUGACGGUACCGGAAUAGAAAGCCACGGCUAACUACGUG
rnacentral:rRNA from 1 species